UUCCAGACUCCUACGGGAGGCAGCAGUGAGGAAUAUUGGUCAAUGGCCGGGAGGCUGAACCAGCCAAGUCGCGUGAGGGAAGACGGCCCUACGGGUUGUAAACCUCUUUUGUCAGGGAGCAAGGUGCAGGUCGGGACCUGCUGUGAGAGUACCUGAAGAAAAAGCAUCGGCUAACUCCGUGCCAGCAGCCGCGGUAAUACGGAGGAUGCGAGCGUUAUCCGGAUUUAUUGGGUUUAAAGGGUGUGCAGGCGGGGGCACAAGUCGGCGGUAAAAUCGCGGGGCUCACCCCCGCUCCGCCGUUGAAACUGUGUCCCUUGAGUGCGCGAAGGGUAGGCGGAAUGCGUGGUGUAGCGGUGAAAUGCGUAGAUAUUAGGAGGAACAUCGGUGGCGAAGGCGGCUUACUGGGCUUUUACUGACGCCGAGGCUCGAAAGCGUGGGGAGCAAACAGGAUUAGAUACCCGUGUAGCA
rnacentral:rRNA from 1 species